AGAGUUUGAUCCUGGCUCAGGAUGAACGCUGGCGGCGUGCCUAACACAUGCAAGUCGAACGGGAGAAACAUUUCGAUGUUUCAAGAGUGGCGCACGGGUGAGUAACACGUAGCUUACCUGCCCCAAACACCGGGAUAACGGGUCGAAAGACCUGCUAAUACCGGAUAAGCUCACGGCUGAGAGAACGGCAGUGAGAAAAGCUCAGGCGGUUUGGGAUGGGGCUGCGGCCCAUCAGCUAGUUGGUGAGGUAACGGCUCACCAAGGCGACGACGGGUAGGGGACCUGAGAGGGUGAACCCCCACACUGGAACUGAGACACGGUCCAGACUCCUACGGGAGGCAGCAGUGAGGAAUAUUGCACAAUGGGCGCAAGCCUGAUGCAGCGACGCCGCGUGGGCGAAGAAGGUUUUCGGAUCGUAAAGCCCUUUUCUCAGGGACGAGCAAGGACGGUACCUGAGGAAUAAGUGUCGGCUAACUACGUGCCAGCAGCCGCGGUAAAACGUAGGACGCAAGCGUUAUCCGGAAUUACUGGGCGUAAAGCGCGUGUAGGCGGGAGUUUAAGUCACUGUUGAAAGCUCCGGGCUAAACUCGGAGAGGUGCGGUGAGACUGGAUUUCUGGAGAGUGUCAGAGGGGUGCAGAAUUCCGGGUGUAGUGGUGAAAUGCGUAGAGAUCCGGAGGAAUACCAGAGGCGAAGGCGGCACCCUGGGACAUGUCUGACGCUGAGACGCGAAAGCAUGGGGAGCGAACGGGAUUAGAGACCCCGGUAGUCCAUGCCGUAAACGAUGCAAACUAGAUGUGGGGUGUCUACGGGCGCUCUGCGUCGCAGCUAACGCGAUAAGUUNNNNNNNNNNAGGGUGUCAGAGGGAGGCAGAAUUCCGGGUGUAGUGGUGAAAUGCGUAGAGAUCCGGAGGAAUACCAGAGGCGAAGGCGGCCUCCUGGGACACAACUGACACUGAGACGCGAAAGCACGGGGAGCGAACGGGAUUAGAGACCCCGGUAGUCCGUGCCGUAAACGAUGCAGACUAGAUGUGUGCUCUCCUACGGGGGGGUGCGUGUCGGAGCUAACGCGGUAAGUCUGCCGCCUGGGGAGUACGGUCGCAAGGCUAAAACUCAAAGGAAUUGACGGGGGCCCGCACAAGCAGCGGAGCGUGUGGUUUAAUUCGAGGCUACGCGAAGAACCUUACCUGGGUUUGACAUCCCACGAACGAAGGUGAAAGCCGGAGGUUCCCGCAAGGGACGUGGAGACAGGUGCUGCAUGGCUGUCGUCAGCUCGUGUCGUGAGAUGUUCGGUUAAGUCCGAAAACGAGCGCAACCCUCGGUCUGUGUUACAGGUGUCACGGACGACUGCCGGCGGCAAGCCGGAGGAAGGUGGGGAUGACGUCAAGUCAGCAUGGCCUUUAUAUCCAGGGCUACACACACGCUACAAUGGGGGGUACAGCAGGUUGCCAAGCCGCGAGGCGGAGCCAAUCCAGUAAAGCCCUUCGUAGUUCGGAUUGUAGGCUGCAACUCGCCUGCAUGAAGCUGGAGUUGCUAGUAACCGUGCAUCAGCAUGGCACGGUGAAUACGUUCCCGGGCCUUGUACACACCGCCCGUCACGUCAUGAGAGUUCGUCACGCCUGAAGUCGGGAAGCUAACCGCAAGGAGGCUACUGCCGAAGGCAGGGCGGAUGAUUGGGACGAAGUCGUAACAAGGUAGCUGUAGCGGAAGCUGCGGCUGG
rnacentral:rRNA from 1 species